AAUGAAUUAAGGUAUUGGCGUGCCUCAAUUUGAAGACAUGAUUAUAUCAUGAAAAAUAGCCAUGUACUUUUAAUUGAGCCGCGUCAAUAUCUUAUUUGUUUUC